rnacentral:lncRNA from 1 species
UAUGAAUAAUUAGUAUCUCAAAAUAUUAAAUUAAAACUCUAGCCCAAAUUCUACACUAGACCAUGGAGCAUCUAAGAUAAUUACAAAAGACAUCAUAUGAAUAAAUGAUAAAGACUCUUUUGGCAGCCUCCACGAACAAUGCGGCGGCUCACCUCAAUAACCGAAUCAACUCUAGCGAACUCGUCAGCUAUUAGCUUCUUCUUCACCAAUAGUAUCUGCAUACACAUGCAGGUAAGGAGUGAGUUAUACGUAAAUAUAACCUAGUAAGAUCCUCGACCCGCCACUCUGAAUACCUCUGGAACAAGUGUUAGAAAAUACAAAUACACCACAACAAGAACGAUAUAAUAAAUACGAUAAUUAUACAAUAACUCAAUACAUAUUUAUCAACAGAGUUAAUAAGAAUUAACCAACAAGAGUACACAUAUCUUAACACAGUAUACACUAAGGACUUGUCAUGACUGCAGUGAAAGAAAUUAAACAACAUCUUUACGAGUCCACAACGGCACCACAAUUCCUCAAAUAUGUAAUAGAGCAUACACAAUGCUCACUGAAGCAUACACAAUGCCCCAGAUAUAAAUAUCAAGAAGAAUACACAAUACUCGGGUGAUGUACAAAGGCAUACACAAUGCCCCAACAUCAUGGCUCACAGCCGUAUCAAACUCAAUACCAUGGCUCACAACCGUAUCAAACUAUCAAACUCAACAUCAUGGCGCACAGCCGUAUCAAACUCAACACCGUGGCUCACAACCGUAUCAAACUAUCAAACUCAACAUCAUGGCUCACAGCCGUAUCAAACUCAACACCAUGGCUCAUAGCCGUAUCAAACUCAACAUCAUGGCGCACAACCGUAUCAAACUCAACACCAUGGCUCACAGCCGUAUCAAACUAUCAAACUCAACAUUAUGGCGCACAGCCAUAUCAAACUCAACAUCAUGGCUCACAUCCGUAUCAAACAAUCAAACUCAACAUCAUGUUUCACAGCCGUAUCAAACUAUCAAACAAAUUAUAAAAUAGUUUUUUUUUUUGUAUUUUUCAUUAAAUAAUAUAUUUGCGGCUAGUCGAAGACCACCGAUUCUGCCAAGUGCACGCUUGUCCCAAUGCAUGGACCAAGCAGAGAAAAUACAUUUUCAAAACGGGUUUUAGAAAAGCAAGCAUCAAAGCUUAAAGUCUCACUUACCUCGCUAGCGGGAAGUUCUCCAGCCUUGCAACGUCUAGAACACCAACCAAACGGUCUCUAAUGGCAUCAAUCUAUCCAAAAUAUUGAAUAACACAUCCUAAUUAGUCUACGUGGAUAAUUUUCAUAAUCUGAGGACAAGUCAAAAUCAAAGUCAAUGCCCGGUCUAAUUAAUAACUAAUUUGUACACAAACAAGGUCAAUUAGUAGUACUUCGAAAAGUACCGAAACAGUAGCUUCAGAUGAACUUAUACCCUAUAAUUAUUUCACUUUAUUAUUGCAUCAUCAUAACUUGCAAUCACUACACCAUAAUCGAUUCUUAUAUGUCACGUACUGUAGCAGUGUAAAGUAACGAAAUAACUGAGGCCUUGUUUACAAACCUUCAAUAUUAUAACAAAUCUUUAGAGACUCAAUCAUUACUUCAUCAUUGUCGCAUCGUCAUUAUUAGCUUACAUUGAAGAAAGAAUAGAAAUUUGAAUCUGUAUACACUAGAAUUGCAUUCUAUAGCAGUAACUUUCAAUAAUACUAAUCAUUAUCUCAUUACUAUGCCAUUAUUAUUAUGCCACCAUUAUAAGAAUAUAAAUUAUAACCCCACCACUCUUCUUCAUCAAUAUAAUCUAUACUAUUGUAGGGGUUUAGAUAUAUUACCUGUAUGCUUGAAGUUUUCCACAAAAUUCCACACAGAGUUAGGCUUAGAUUUUCCCACAGAUGUGCCGUCACGGUGCCCUCCUUGUUCUUCCCU